rnacentral:rRNA from 1 species
AGCUCUUUUAGCGUAUAUUAAUGUUGUUGCAGUUAAAAAGCUCGUAGUUGAAUUUCUGGGUAGUCAUCUUUGUCAACCUUAACCGGUGUGUACAUUGUUUGGCUGCUCAUCCUUCUGAAGAACCUAUGUGGUAUUCAUUUAUCAUGUAGGGGAUCAGAUCUUUUACUUUGAAAAAAUUAGAGUGUUUCAGGCAGGCAAUCGCUGGAAUACAUUAGCAUGGAAUAAUGAAAUAGGAUUUUGGUUCUAUUUGUUGGUUUUUAGGGCCAAAGUAAUGAUUAAUAGGGAUAGUUGGGGGCAUUAGUAUUUAAUUGUCAGAGGUGAAAUUCAUGGAUUUGUUAAAGACUAACUUAUGCGAAAGCAUUUGCCAAGGAUGUUUUCA